AUUGAACGCUGGCGGCAGGCCUAACACAUGCAAGUCGAACGAGUGGCGGACGGGUGAGUAAUGUCUGGGAACCUGCUUGAUGGAGGGGGAUAACUACUGGAAACGGUAGCUAAUACCGCAUACCAUCGGAUGUGCCCAGAUGGGAUUAGCUAGUAGGUGGGGUAAAGGCUCACCUAGGCGACGAUCCCUAGCUGAUCUGAGAGGAUGACCGGCCACACUGGAACUGAGACACGGUCCAGACUCCUACGGGAGGCAGCAGUGGGGAAUAUUGCACAAUGGGCGAAAGCCUGAUGCAGCCAUGCCGCGUGUAUGAAGAAGGCCUUCGGGUUGUAAAGCACUGUCAGCGAGGAGGCGUUACUCGCAGAAGAAGCAACGGCUAACUCCGUGCCAGCAGCCGCGGUAAUAC
rnacentral:rRNA from 1 species